GAAUCCCGUCUUUGACACGGACUGCCUGUACAUUAUGGUGUGCUCUCGAAGAGUCGAGUUGUUUGGGAAUGCAGCUCAAAAUGGGUGGUAAAUGCCAUCUAAAGCUAAAUAUUGGCGAGAGACCGAUAGCGAACAAGUACCGUGAGGGAAAGAUGAAAAGAACUUUGGAAAGAGAGUUAAACAGUACGUGAAAUUGCUGAAAGGGAAACGCUUGAAGUCAGUCGCGUUGGCUAGAAAUCAACCUUGCUUUUGCUUUGUGUACUUUCUGGUUGACGGGUCAGCAUCAAUUUUGACCACUGGAUAAAGUCUUUGGGAAUGUGGCAUCUUCGGAUGUGUUAUAGCCCAUUGUCGCAUACGGUGGUUGGGAUUGAGGAACUCAGCACGCCGCAAGGCCGGGUUUCGACCACGUUCGUGCUUAGGAUGCUGGCAUAAUGGCUUUAAUCGACCCGUCUUGAAACACGGACCAAGGAGUCUAACAUGCCUGCGAGUGUUUGGGUGGAAAAGCCCAUGCGCGCAAUGAAAGUGAAAGUUGAGAUCCUCUUCAAAGGGGGAGCAUUGACGCCCGGACCAGACCUUUUGUGACGGAUCCGCGGUAGAGCAUGCAUGUUGGGACCCGAAAGAUGGUGAACUAUGCCUGAAUAGGGUGAAGCCAGAGGAAACUCUGGUGGAGGCUCGUAGCGAUUCUGACGUGCAAAUCGAUCGUCAAAUUUGGGUAUAGGGGCGAAAGACUAAUCGAACCAUCUAGUAGCUGGUUCCUGCC
rnacentral:rRNA from 1 species